rnacentral:rRNA from 1 species
CCAACACUUGACAUGUUCGUCGCGACUUUGAGAGAUCAAAGUUUUCGGUUCGGCCGUACGAAACACAGGUGCUGCAUGGCUGUCGUCAGCUCGUGUCGUGAGAUGUUGGGUUAAGUCCCGCUACGAGCGCAACCCUCACGUUUAGUGGCCAUCAUUAAGUUGGGCACUCUGAAAGAACUGCCAGUGAUAAGCUGGAGGAAGGUGGGGAUGACGUCAAGUCCUCAUGGCCCUUACGUGUUGGGCUACACACGUGCUACAAUGGUAUCUACAACAGGAAGCAAGACUGCGAAGUUAAGCAAAUCCUUAAAAGAUACCUCAGUUCGGAUUGCACUCUGCAACUCGAGUGCAUGAAGCUGGAAUUACUAGUAAUCGUGGAUCAGCGUGCCACGGUGAAUGCGUUCCCGGGUCUUGUACACACCGCCCGUCACACCAUGGGAGUUGGUUCUACCUUAAGGCAAGGUUUUAAACCCUUGACCACGGUAUAGUCAGCGACUGGGUGAAGUCGUAAGCAAGGUAA